UUUAGCUUAGUGGUAGAGCGUGUGCUUCGUAAGCAGAAGGUCGUCAGUUGAAUACUGGCAAG
rnacentral:tRNA from 1 species